rnacentral:misc_RNA from 1 species
UACGAAGGGGGCUAGCGUUGUUCGGAAUCACUGGGCGUAAAGAGCAUGUAGGCGGCUAUGCAAGCCAGAGGUGAAAUCCCGGAGCUCAACUCCGGAACUGCCUUUGGAACUGCAUAGCUAGAAUCUCGGAGGGGAUGGUGGAAUUCCUAGUGUAGAGGUGAAAUUCGUAGAUAUUAGGAGGAACACCGGUGGCGAAGGCGACCAUCUGGACGAGUAUUGACGCUGAGAUGCGAAAGCGUGGGGAGCAAACAGG